rnacentral:lncRNA from 1 species
CGCCACUUCCGGUGCCACUUCCGGUCCCGACGCAAUUUCCGGUGCCAUUUCCGGUUCCACUGCCGGUUCCCUCCGGAUCUUGGACGACAUCUUGAGCACUGUGGCCAUGGAUUGAUCAACAUCGCCACUUCCAGUUCCGCUUCAGCUUCCGGUUCCGGUGCCAUUUUCAGUUCCAGUUCCAGUUCCGAUACCAUUUCUGGUUUUGGUUCCACUUCCGGUUCCGGUUCCCUCCGGCUCCUGGACGAGGACUUGCACACGAUGCCCAUUGCCGAGCUGCAAGCCUUGGAUUGAUCCUCAUUUCCGGUUCCGUUUCCGACGCCAUUUCCGGUUCCACUUCCAGUUCCCUCCAACUUUUGGACAAGGACUUGCACACCAUGACCAUCAUCGAGCCUCAACCAUUGGAUUGAUCCUCACUUCCGGUUUUGCCGCCAUUUCCGGUUCCGGUUCCGUUUCCAGUUCCACAUCCAGUCCCACUUCCGGUUCUGGCGCCAUUUUCAGUUCCGGUCCCACUUCCGGUUCCAGUUCCGGUUUUUGA